rnacentral:tRNA from 1 species
AUUUAAAUAGCUUAAAAUUAGAGCAGUACAUUGAAGAUGUAAGGGUGGUUAUGUUAACCUUUAGAUA